AUACGGGAGGCAGCAGUGGGGAAUCUUGCGCAAUGGGCGAAAGCCUGACGCAGCGACGCCGCGUGGGUGAUGAAGGCCUUCGGGUUGUAAAGCCCUGUGGGGAGGGACGAAUAAGCGCCGGCCAAUACCCGGCGUGAUGACGGUACCUCCUUAGCAAGCACCGGCUAACUCUGUGCCAGCAGCCGCGGUAAGACAGAGGGUGCAAACGUUGUUCGGAAUUACUGGGCGUAAAGCGCGUGUAGGCGGCCGCGCAAGUCGGAUGUGAAAGCCCUCGGCUCAACUGGGGAAGUGCACCCGAAACUGCGUGGCUUGAGUCUCGGAGAGGAUCGUGGAAUUCUCGGUGUAGAGGUGAAAUUCGUAGAUAUCGAGAGGAACACCGGUGGCGAAGGCGGCGAUCUGGACGAUGACUGACGCUGAGACGCGAAAGCGUGGGGAGCAAACAGGAUUAGAUACCCGUGUAC
rnacentral:rRNA from 1 species